rnacentral:rRNA from 1 species
AAACCUGAGAAACCCGAAAGAUCGAAUGGGAAGAUUCAGCGUCAGCGGCGUCAUCUCUGCGGAUCGUACGUCGUCUCGGACUUCUGUCUUGGGACUCGUAUUCUUUCCAUGCAUUGUUUGGCGUCGUCGUCGUGCACUUCUUCCCUAGUAGAACGUCGCGACCCGUUGGGUGUCGGUAUACGGUCCGAGCGGUAGACUGUCGCGUCGCUUAGGCGCACGCGGCAGACCCUCGGUCACCCGGCCGGCUGCCCGGCGGUCGAACUUAUAAGGUAUCUUGCCGCAAUUUAUCGAAUGCGUCGGGCCCGUCGCAAGCGAGGCCAGUAAUUAUCGGAGUUACGGACCCGGUGCCGUACCCGUAACUGGCCAGCUGUUUGCAGGCGGAGUCCUUUGACGGGCAAUACACAAUGAUACCGGUCUGCGACGCUACUGCUUUGGGUACUCUCAGGACCCGUCUUGAAACACGGACCAAGGAGUCUAACAUGUGCGCGAGUCAUUGGGACCGCUAAGCCUAAAGGCAUAAUGAAAGUGAAGGUCGUACUCUAAGGUCGACCUAGGGAGGAUGAGUCGCGUUUACGCGUUGCUCCGCACUCCCGGGGCGUCUCGUUCUCAUUGCGAGAAGAGGCGCACCCAGAGCGUACACGUUGGGACCCGAAAGAUGGUGAACUAUGCCUGGUCAGGACGAAGUCAGGGGAAACCCUGAUGGAGGUCCGUAGCGAUUCUGACGUGCAAAUCGAUCGUCGGAACUGGGUAUAGGGGCGAAAGACUAAUCGAACCAUCUAGUAGCUGGUUCCCUCCGAAGUUUCCCUCAGGAUAGCUGGCACUCGUUCGUUCAUAAUUGAACGUCAAACGAGUCUCAUCUGGUAAAGCGAAUGAUUAGAGGCCUUGGGGCCGAAACGACCUCAACCUAUUCUCAAACUUUAAAUGGGUGAGAUCUCUGGCUUGCUUGAACUAUGAAGCCACGAGAAAAAUUAUAAAUAUACGGAUCAGAGCGCCAAGUGGGCCAAUUUU